UAACACGUGGGUAACCUGCCUUAUAGUGGGGGAUAGCCUUUCGAAAGGAAGAUUAAUACCGCAUAAGAUUGUAGUAUCGCAUGAUAUAGCAAUUAAAGGAGCAAUCCGCUAUAAGAUGGACCCGCGUCGCAUUAGCUAGUUGGUGAGGUAAUGGCUCACCAAGGCGACGAUGCGUAGCCGACCUGAGAGGGUGAUCGGCCACAUUGGAACUGAGACACGGUCCAGACUCCUACGGGAGGCAGCAUG
rnacentral:rRNA from 1 species